AGUGAACGCUGGCGGCGUGGCUAAGACAUGCAAGUUGAACGAUAGUCCCUUCGGGGACGAAAAGUAGCGAACGGGUGCGUAACACGUAAGUAAUCUGCCUCUAAGAGGGGGAUAGCUCGCUGAAAGGCGAAUUAAUACCGCAUACAGUUCUGUUUCGCAUGAAGCAGAUACUAAAGCUUGUAAAGGCGCUUAGAGAGGAACUUGCGGCCUAUCAGCUAGUUGGGGAGGUAAAGGCUCACCAAGGCUAAGACGGGUAGCCGGUCUGAGAGGAUGAUCG
rnacentral:rRNA from 1 species